rnacentral:rRNA from 1 species
AGAGUUUGAUCAUGGCUCAGAACGUACGCUGGCGGCACGCCUAAUACAUGCAAGUCGAACGGAGUAGCAAUACUUAGUGGCAGACGGGUGAGUAACAUGUGGGUAUCUUCCCUUUGGUGAGGAAUAACACGAGGAAACUUGUGCUAAUACCUCAUAAGUCUUUACGGAGAAAGCUUUAUGCGCCAUUGGAUGAGCCCGCACUUGAUUAGUUAGUUGGUGGGGUAAAGGCCUACCAAGACAAUGAUCAAUAGCUGAUUUGAGAGGAUGAUCAGCCACAUUGGGACUGAGACACGGCCCAAACUUCUACGGAAGGCAGCAGUAGGGAAUCUUGCACAAUGGAGGAAACUCUGAUGCAGCGAUGCCGCGUGAGUGAAGAAGGCCUUUGGGUUGUAAAGCUCUUUCGUCGGGGAAGAAAAUGACUGUACCCGAAUAAGAAGGUCCGGCUAACUUCGUGCCAGCAGCCGCGGUAAUACGAAGGGACCUAGCGUAGUUCGGAAUUACUGGGCUUAAAGAGUUCGUAGGUGGUUAAAAAAGUUGGUGGUGAAAUCCCAGAGCUUAACUCUGGAACUGCCAUCAAAACUUUUUAGCUAGAGUAUGAUAGAGGAAAGCAGAAUUUCUAGUGUAGAGGUGAAAUUCGUAGAUAUUAGAAAGAAUACCAAUUGCGAAGGCAGCUUUCUGGAUCAUUACUGACACUGAGGAACGAAAGCAUGGGUAGCGAAGAGGAUUAGAUACCCUCGUAGUCCAUGCCGUAAACGAUGUGUGUUAGACGUUGGAAAUUUAUUUUCAGUGUCGCAGCGAAAGCAAUAAACACACCGCCUGGGGAGUACGACCGCAAGGUUAAAACUCAAAUGAAUUGACGGGACCCGCACAAGUAGUGGAGCAUGUGGUUUAAUUCGAAGAUACGCGCAGAACCUUACCAACACUUGACAUGUUCGUCG